rnacentral:rRNA from 1 species
CCUACGGGGGGCUGCAGUGGGGAAUAUUGCACAAUGGGGGAAACCCUGAUGCAGCGACGCCGCGUGAGUGAAGAAGUAUCUCGGUACGUAAAGCUCUAUCAGCAGGGAAGAAAAUGACGGUACCUGACUAAGAAGCCCCGGCUAACUACGUGCCAGCAGCCGCGGUAAUACGGAGGGGGCAAGCGUUAUCCGGAUUUACUGGGUGUAAAGGGAGCGUAGACGGGGCUGCAAGUCCGGAGUGAAAGCCCAUGGCUUAACCAGGGUAGUGCUGUGGAAACUGUAGAGCUUGAGUGCGGGAGGGGCAGGCGGAAUUCCUGGUGUAGCGGUGAAAUGCGUAGAUAUCAGGAGGAACACCGGCGGCGAAGGCGGCCUGCUGGACCGUAACUGACGUUGAGGCUCGAAAGCGUGGGUAGCAAACAGGAUUAGAUACCCGGGUAGUC